rnacentral:ncRNA from 1 species
GCCCCAGUGAGAAUGCCCUACGCACCCUGUUUGAGUGUUAGGAGCUGGUAUCAGGCACGCCCACAGCAGCCCACGACACCUUGCUUAGCCACACCCCCAAGGGAACCCAGCAGUGAUAAACAUUAAGCCAUAAGUGAAAACUUGACUUAGUCACGGCUCAGAGGGCCGGUAAAACUCGUGCCAGCCACCGCGGUUAUACGAGAGGCCCAAGUUGUUAGCCCCCGGCAUAAAGAGUGGUUAAAACAUCAAACACAAAACUGAGGUCGAACAUCCUCAAGGCUGUUGUACGCUCCCGAGGAUAGGAAGAACAACAACGAAAGUGGCCUCACCAAAUUUGAACCCACGAAAGCCAGGGCACAAACUGGGAUUAGAUACCCCACUAUGCCUGGCCCUAAACAAUGAUACCCCUACAACCCCCAUCCGCCCGGGUACUACGAGCGCUAGCUUAAAACCCAAAGGACUUGGCGGUGCUUUAAAGCCAUCUAGAGGAGCCUGUUCUAGAACCGAUAACCCCCGUUAAACCUCACCCCUUCUUGUUUUAUCCGCCUAUAUACCACCGUCGCCAGCCUACCCUGUGAAGGACUAGUAGUGAGCAAAAUUGGCACAGCCCAAGACGUCAGGUCGAGGUGUAGCAUAUGAAGGGGGAAGAAAUGGGCUACAUUCUCUACCCAGAGAAUUACGGACGACACGUUGAAACACGUAUCUGAAGGAGGAUUUAGCAGUAAGUAGGAAGCAGAGUGUCUUACUGAAACCGGCUAUGAAGCGCGCACACACCGCCCGUCACUCUCCCUUAAUACAACCCACCAACAAUAUAUACACAUAUUACCCACCAAGGGGAGGCAAGUCGUAACAUGGUAAGCGUACCGGAAGGUGUGCUUGGAAAAAU